GGCAGAUCAUCACUUCUUAUAUUCUUGGCACACAUGAUUUUAUGUACAUGUGUUAUUUAUACACCACUCAAGGAGAACUAGAGGCUCCUUGCAAUGAAAAGCAGAUUCACGGUUAAGUAUUAGAAAUGCUCAAAAGCCUUGAAGGCUAAGACAAAGGCUAUAUGGUUUGGAAGCCUUUUCUGUCUGAGAACAUAUCUGAGGAAGUGAAGACAAUUUGGUGGAGUUUCUUUUUAAUUGGAAUUUAUAAUUGCUCCUAAUUAUAGGACAUACUUUAAAUGUUACUUUGAGAGGCUGAGGGAGGGGGUGGAGCCCUGUCCACUCUAGCCUCAUGAGCUAUAACCUUGACAUUUUAAUUAGAUAUUAUUUUGAAAUAUGUAAAAGGGAUUUACAUACUCGGUGAAACAUAUCAUUGACUGUGCAAUUUGCCCAAGAAGACAAAAUGAUACACAGUUUUAAAAAUAAU
rnacentral:lncRNA from 1 species